rnacentral:rRNA from 1 species
GAUGAACGCUGGCGGCGUGCCUAAUACAUGCAAGUCGAGCGAACAGACGAGGAGCUUGCUCCUCUGACGUUAGCGGCGGACGGGUGAGUAACACGUGGAUAACCUACCUAUAAGACUGGGAUAACUUCGGGAAACCGGAGCUAAUACCGGAUAAUAUAUUGAACCGCAUGGUUCAAUAGUGAAAGACGGUUUUGCUGUAACUUAUAGAUGGAUCCGCGCCGCAUUAGCUAGUUGGUAAGGUAACGGCUUACCAAGGCGACGAUGCGUAGCCGACCUGAGAGGGUGAUCGGCCACCCUGGAACUGAGACACGGUCCAGACUACUACGGGAGGCAGCAGUAGGGAAUCUGCCGCAAUGGGCGAAAGCAUUGCGGAGCAACGCCGCGUGAGUGAUGAAGGUCUUCGGAUCGUAAAACUCUGUUAUUAGGGAAGAACAAAUGUGUAAGUAAAUAUGCACGUAUUGACGGUACCUAAUCAGAAAGCCACGGCUAACUACGUG